GCCAUUUCAGGUAUGUUCUGUAUCCAAGGAACCCACAUAGAAUACACAGGAGCCAUGGCACACCUGCUCCCUUUUGAGGCAAGUGGCUUGGGGCCAAGGAGGUUACCCUAAAGCACGGAGUGUUACUACAUGCCUACAUGGUUGGAAACCAUCAUAUCAUAUGCAUGGCCAAGAAAGCCAGUCAAGCCUGUCACAAUCUGAAAGUCUCUCUUGGAAGUGUUUUGGCACUGAAGACAUGCUGAAUGGAAGCCAAUUGGAAGUGUCAUCCAAACAAGGCUACUAAUGACCAAAAGAACAUGUCCAAUGAUUCUGGAACUAGCACAACUUAACUGAACUGAAUAGCUUCCUACAGAAAAAAAAAAUAAUAAUAAAAUGAAAUCCAAUUUAUGCA
rnacentral:lncRNA from 1 species